rnacentral:rRNA from 1 species
UACGUAGGUGGCAAGCGUUGUCCGGAUUUACUGGGCGUAAAGAGCGCGCAGGCGGUCGUGCAAGUCGCGUGUGAAAGCCCCCGGCUCAACUGGGGAGGGUCACGCGAUACUGCUCGACUCGAAGACAGGAGAGGGAAGUGGAAUUCCCGGUGUAGUGGUGAAAUGCGUAGAUAUCGGGAGGAACACCAGUGGCGAAGGCGACUUCCUGGCCUGUUCUUGACGCUGAGGCGCGAAAGCUAGGGUAGCAAACGGG